GAUGAACGCUGGCGGCGUGCCUAAUACAUGCAAGUCGAGCGAACAGACGAGGAGCUUGCUCCUCUGACGUUAGCGGCGGACGGGUGAGUAACACGUGGAUAACCUACCUAUAAGACUGGGAUAACUUCGGGAAACCGGAGCUAAUACCGGAUAAUAUAUUGAACCGCAUGGUUCAAUAGUGAAAGACGGUUUUGCUGUCACUUAUAGAUGGAUCCGCGCCGCAUUAGCUAGUUGGUAAGGUAACGGCUUACCAAGGCAACGAUGCGUAGCCGACCUGAGAGGGUGAUCGGCCACACUGGAACUGAGACACGGUCCAGACUCCUACGGGAGGCAGCAGUAGGGAAUCUUCCGCAAUGGGCGAAAGCUUGACGGAGCAACGCCGCGUGAGUGAUGAAGGUCUUCGGAUCGUAAAACUCUGUUAUUAGGGAAGAACAAAUGUGUAAGUAAUUAUGCACGUCUUGACGGUACCUAAUCAGAAAGCCACGGCUAACUACGU
rnacentral:rRNA from 1 species